GGAAUCAGUCAAGACCAAGCAUCCCCAACUGCUCUAUGAAUCUAAGCUGUACAUGCUUCUUCUAGGAGGGACCGGUAUUCCUCAUUUAAAAUGGUUUGGAGUUGAGGGUGAAUACAAUGUCAUGGUUAUUGAUUUCCUUGGACCAAGCCUAGAAGAUUUGUUCAACUAUUGCAAUCGGAAGUUUUCUUUAAAAGCAGUUCUAUUGCUUGCAGAUCAAUAAACAGAGUUGAGUAUAUGCACUCUCGUGGUUUUCUUCAGCGUGACAUAAAGCCCGAUAACUUUUUGAUGGGUCUAGGGUGCAAAGCAA